GGUCCUGUAGCCUAAUGAAUAAGGUGUCGGUCUCCUAAACCGAAGAUUCAAGGUUCCAGUAAUUGUGGGUCGA
rnacentral:tRNA from 1 species